AUUGAACGCUGGCGGCAGGCCUAACACAUGCAAGUCGGACGAGCGGCGGACGGGUGAGUAAUGUCUGGGGAUCUGCCUGAUGGAGGGGGAUAACUACUGGAAACGGUAGCUAAUACCGCAUACCAUCAGAUGUGCCCAUAUGGGAUUAGCUUGUUGGUGAGGUAACGGCUUACCAAGGCGACGAUCCCUAGCUGGUCUGAGAGGAUGAUCAGCCACACUGGAACGGAGACACGGUCCAGACUCCUACGGGAGGCAGCAGUGGGGAAUAUUGCACAAUGGGCGCAAGCCUGAUGCAGCCAUGCCGCGUGUAUGAAGAAGGCCUUCGGGUUGUAAAGUACUUUCAGCGGGGAGGCGUUACCGGCAGAAGAAGCACCGGCUAACUCCGUGCCAGCAGCCGCGGUAAUAC
rnacentral:rRNA from 1 species